rnacentral:tRNA from 1 species
AAAGGCGUAAGUUAAAUUUAUAAAACUUUAUGGUUCAUGUUCAUAUAAUAUACCUAGUGGUGUCGUCUUUU